rnacentral:rRNA from 1 species
AGUGAACGCUGGCGGUAGGCCUAACACAUGCAAGUCGAACGGCAGCACAGUAAGAGCUUGCUCUUACGGGUGGCGAGUGGCGGACGGGUGAGGAAUACAUCGGAAUCUACUUUUUCGUGGGGGAUAACGUAGGGAAACUUACGCUAAUACCGCAUACUACCUACGGGUGAAAGCAGGGGAUCUUCGGACCUUGCGCGAUUGAUUGAGCCGAUGUCGGAUUAGCUAGUUGGCGGGGUAAAGGCCCACCAAGGCGACGAUCCGUAGCUGAUCUGAGAGGAUGAUCAGCCACACUGGAACUGAGACACGGUCCAGACUCCUACGGGAGGCAGCAGUAGGGAAUCUUGGACAAUGGGCGCAAGCCUGACCCAGCCAUACCGCGUGAGUGAAGAAGGCCUUCGGGUUGUAAAGCCCUUUUGUUGGGAAAGAAAAGCAGCAGGUUAAUCCCCCGCUGUUCUGACGGUACCCAAAGAAUAAGCACCGGCUAACUUCGUG